UUUUUGACAUUUUGACAUUGCUGUUAUCUUUUCUUUCCAGGUACCCCAAAAACAGGUGGUGGCUGAAUUCAGAGCAACCCCAGCAAAGUAAGAUACAUGACACUGGGCACCCCCAGCUACUUUUCAGCCAUCCAUGGGAGCAGAGAAGACCGAGCUGGACCACAACGAGGAGCAGCAGGAGACGGCAGGGCAUCAUCACCCUCGGAGCCAGGGAUGCCGGAGUCAGAGCAUCCUGAAGAAUGGACGUUCACCAGUGAUCAGGUGCAGACUACAAAUAGCCUUCCAUGUCAUGUCAUAUAUGCACUGAACAAUGCUAUUGCAAUGCAUAUGCCCAAAGGGGCACAUCUAAAAUGA